UAUCUUAGUGGCGGACGGGUGAGUAACGCGUGGGUAACCUGCCCCAUACCGGGGGAUACCACCUGGAAACAGGUGCUAAUACCGCAUAAGCGCACGGAGCGCAUGCUCCUGUGUGAAAAACUCCGGUGGUAUGGGAUGGACCCGCCGUCUGAUUAGCCAGUUGGCAGGGUAACGGCCUACCAAAGCGACGAUCAGUAGCCGGCCUGAGAGGGCGGACGGCCACAUUGGGACUGAGACACGGCCCAAACUCCUACGGGAGGCAGCAG
rnacentral:rRNA from 1 species